rnacentral:rRNA from 1 species
CUGGCUCAGAUUGAACGCUGGCGGCAGGCCUAACACAUGCAAGUCGAACGGUAACAGGAAGCAGCUUGCUGCUCGCUGACGAGUGGCGGACGGGUGAGUAAUGUCUGGGAAACUGCCCGAUGAGGGGGAUAACUACUGGAAACGGUAGCUAAUACCGCAUAAUGUCGCAAGACCAAAGAGGGGGACCUUCGGGCCUCUUGCCAUCGGAUGUGCCCAGAUGGGAUUAGCUUGUUGGUGAGGUAACGGCUCACCAAGGCGACGAUCCCUAGCUGGUCUGAGAGGAUGACCAGCCACACUGGAACUGAGACACGGUCCAGACUCCUACGGGAGGCAGCAGUGGGGAAUAUUGCACAAUGGGCGCAAGCCUGAUGCAGCCAUGCCCGCGUGUAUGAAGAAGGCCUUCGGGUUGUAAAGUACUUUCAGCGGGGAGGAAGGGGUUAAGGUUAAUAACCUUAGCCAUUGACGUUACCCGCAGAAGAAGCACCGGCUAACUCCGUGCCAGCAGCAGC